rnacentral:rRNA from 1 species
GAUGAACGCUGGCGGCGUGCCUAAUACAUGCAAGUCGAGCGAACAGACGAGGAGCUUGCUCCUCUGACGUUAGCGGCGGACGGGUGAGUAACACGUGGAUAACCUACCUAUAAGACUGGGAUAACUUCGGGAAACCGGAGCUAAUACCGGAUAACAUGUUGAACCGCAUGGUUCAACAGUGAAAGACGGUCUUGCUGUCACUUAUAGAUGGAUCCGCGCCGCAUUAGCUAGUUGGUAAGGUAACGGCUUACCAAGGCAACGAUGCGUAGCCGACCUGAGAGGGUGAUCCGCCACACUGGAACUGAGACACGGUCCAGACUCCUACGGGAGGCAGCAGUAGGGAAUCUUCCGCAAUGGGCGAAAGCCUGACGGAGCAACGCCGCGUGAGUGAAGAAGGUCUUCGGAUCGUAAAACUCUGUUAUUAGGGAAGAACAAAUGUGUAAGUAACUAUGCACGUCCUGACGGUACCUAAUCAGAAAGCCACGGCUAACUACGUG